AACGCGAAGAACCUUACCAAAUCUUGACAUCCUUUGACAACUCUAGAGAUAGAGCUUUCCCCUUCGGGGGACAAAGUGACAGGUGGUGCAUGGUUGUCGUCAGCUCGUGUCGUGAGAUGUUGGGUUAAGUCCCGCAACGAGCGCAACCCUUAAGCUUAGUUGCCAUCAUUAAGUUGGGCACUCUAAGUUGACUGCCGGUGACAAACCGGAGGAAGGUGGGGAUGACGUCAAAUCAUCAUGCCCCUUAUGGUUUGGGCUACACACGUGCUACAAUGGACAAUACAAAGGGCAGCGAAACCGCGAGGUCAAGCAAAUCCCAUAAAGUUGUUCUCAGUUCGGAUUGUAGUCUGCAACUCGACUACAUGAAGCUGGAAUCGCUAGUAAUCGUAGAUCAGCAUGCUACGGUGAAUACGUUCCCGGGUCUUGUACACACGC
rnacentral:rRNA from 1 species